UGAGGAAUAUUGGUCAAUGGGCGAGAGCCUGAACCAGCCAAGUCGCGUGAAGGAAGACUGCCCGCAAGGGUUGUAAACUUCUUUUGUAUGGGAUUAAAGUCACCUACGUGUAGGUGUUUGCAGUUACCAUACGAAUAAGCAUCGGCUAACUCCGUGCCAGCAGCCGCGGUAAUACGGAGGAUGCGAGCGUUAUCCGGAAUUAUUGGGCGUAAAGGGCUUGUAGGCGGUUGGCCGCGUCUGCCGUGAAAUCCUCUGGCUUAACUGGGGGCGUGCGGUGGGUACGGGUUGACUUGAGUGCGGUAGGGGAGACUGGAAUUCCUGGUGUAGCGGUGGAAUGCGCAGAUAUCAGGAGGAACACCGGUGGCGAAGGCGGGUCUCUGGGCCGUUACUGACGCUGAGGAGCGAAAGCGUGGGGAGCGAACAGG
rnacentral:rRNA from 1 species